CAUGGAGGGUGAGAAUCCCGUUCGGUUGACCUUAUGACGCUUUACGAUACGCUUUCAAAGAGUCGAGUUGUUUGGGAUUGCAGCUCAAAAUGGGAGGUAAAUUUCUCCUAAGGCUAAAUAUCGGCGAGAGACCGAUAGCGAACAAGUACCGUGAGGGAAAGAUGAAAAGAACUUUGAAAAGAGAGUAAAAUAGUACGUGAAAUUGUUGAAAGGGAAACGAUUGAAGUCAGUCGUACCGACGAGAAAUCAGCUCUUUGAGUGCGAACUUUGUGGGCGCGCGUGAGUCUUUAACGGGCCUCGCUGUUUGUAAUUUUGUGCUUUUUGGGUGUACUUUUUCGUAUGGUAGGCCAACGUCAGUUUUGAUCACCGUAAAAUGAUCGGAGGAAUGUAGCUUCGAUCUCGUAUUGAAGUGUUAUGGCCUCUGGUAGAUGCGGUGACCGAAACUGAGGAUUGCAACGAAUACCCUUUGGGCUAUCCGUCUGACCUCUGAAAGCUGCUUAGGUGCCGAAAGCUUGCUUACGGUCAUUUAAGUUGACGGUCAAAAGGUUAGAACGUGAUUACAUUCGUUAAGGAUGUUGACGUAAUGG
rnacentral:rRNA from 1 species